CGGUGGAUGCCUUGGCAGAAACAGGCGAUGAAGGACGUGGCAAGCUGCGAUAAGCUUCGGGGAGCCGCACACAGGCGUUGAUCCGGAGAUUUCCGAAUGGGGAAACCCACCUGGGCAAAACCCAGGUAUGCCCUACUGAAUACAUAGGUAGGAGCAGGCGAACGGAGGGAAGUGAACCAUCUCAGUACCUCCAGGAGGAGAAAGAAACCUCGAUUCCGAAAGUAGUGGCGAGCGAAAUCGGAACAGCCCAAACCCGUGUCAUUUCGGUGACUCGGGGGUUGUAGGGCCUGCAUAAGU
rnacentral:rRNA from 13 species